rnacentral:lncRNA from 1 species
GUCCUCACAUGGUGGAAGGAGCUAGCUAGCUCUCUGGGGCCUUUUUUUUAUAAGAACAGUAAUCCCAUUCAUGAGGGCUUUGUCCUUAUAACUUAAUUACCUCCCAGAGGCUUCAGUUUCUAAUACCACCACCUUAGGGGUUAAGAUUUCAACAUAUAAGUUUGGCGGGGUGGAGAGAAAUAAACAUUCAGACCACAGCAGAAGGUUGCCCUAAAUUCUGGAGUCGGGGAGGGGGGAAGUAUCGCAAGAAAACAGGAACACUGAAAGACAUGGGCUCCUUCUCAGAUCUUAGAGAACAAAAGAAAGAACUAAAUGGAGAUGUGGGAAUCACAAGGCCAUAGUUUAGGGUCUCGCAGUGCCAUUGGCAACAAAGCCUGAGAGCCUAGGCGAUAGAGGCAGAACACCCAGAGGAGAAGCCCCUUCCCCUUGCACCGUGAGCCUGGUGUUUGCAGCUUGGUAGCAGUGGCAACAGAACAAUCAGUUCUCCUACAAUAAACCAGGGACGGAACAAACAACAGCAGCAGCGGUAGCAGGGAAACAGAAUCUGUGUUGGCGUGCAGUGAGCAGGCAGCGUCUGCAAAGUAGCGCUGGCAACCACAACAGAGAGGCCAGCAACAGGAGGAGCAGGAGGAGCCCAAUGAAGCGUGCUGUGGAGGACAAAAAGCAGCAGAGGCAGGAAGCAGUGACAAGGAGUGAGCUGGGAAAUUCCAGCUGCCCUCCUGUCCUACUUACAAGGAAUAGCCUGGAACAAGUACAGUUGACUCUGAACAAGUCAGGUUUGAACUGCAUGGGUCCACUCAUAUGAAGAUUUCUUUCAACGAAAGCUACCCCGAGUGUGCCUGCCUUUCCUGCUUCCCCUUCCACCUCCUGCACCUCUACCAUCCCUGCCACCCCUAAGACAGCAAGGCCAGUCUCUUCUCUCUCUCCCCCUCCUCCUUCAGCCUAUUCAACUUGAAGAUGACAAGGAUGAAGAGCUUUAUGAUGAUCUACUUCCCCUUAAUGAACAGUAAAUAUAGUUUUUCUUCCUUACAAUUUUCUUAAUAGCAUUUUCUUUUCUCUAGCUUACUUUAUUGUAAGAAUACAGUG